rnacentral:rRNA from 1 species
CUGGCGGCAUGCCUAAGACAUGCAAGUCGUACGAGGUUGCCUGUUGAAGUUUUAUGCUUGACAUAAAAUUGAUUCAGAUACAACCUAGUGGCGAAAGGGUGAGUAACACGUGAGUAAUCUACCCUAGAGACUGGGAUAACUAUUGGAAACGAUAGCUAAUACCGGAUUAAAUAUAAAGUUGAUUACUUUAUAGUAAAGAAGCCUUCAAAGCUUCACUUUAGGAUGAGCUUGCGCCGUAUUAGCUAGUUGGUAAGGUAAUGGCUUACCAAGGCGACGAUGCGUAGCCGACCUGAGAGGGUGAUCGGCCACACUGGGACUGAGACACGGCCCAGACUCCUACGGGAGACAGCAGUUAGGGAUAUUCGUCAAUGGAGGAAACUCUGAACGAGCAAUGCCGCGUGAGUGAAUGACAGUUCUUUGGAUUGUAAAACUCUGUUGUUAGGGAAGAACGACUCGUAUAGGAAAUGAUACGGGAGUGACUGUACCUUUCAAGAAAGCUCCGGCUAACUACGUGCCAGCCGCGGC